UACGUAGGGUGCAAGCGUUGUCCGGAAUUAUUGGGCGUAAAGAGCUCGUAGGCGGUUUGUCGCGUCUGCUGUGAAAACUCGGGGCUUAACUCCGGGCCUGCAGUGGGUACGGGCAGACUAGAGUGCGGUAGGGGAGACUGGAAUUCCUGGUGUAGCGGUGAAAUGCGCAGAUAUCAGGAGGAACACCGGUGGCGAAGGCGGCAUCCUGGACCGGUAUUGACACUGAGGCGCGAAAGCCAGGGGAGCAAACGGG
rnacentral:rRNA from 1 species